rnacentral:rRNA from 1 species
AUUGAACGCUGGCGGCAGGCCUAACACAUGCAAGUCGAACGAGUGGCGGACGGGUGAGUAAUGUCUGGGAAACUGCCUGAUGGAGGGGGAUAACUACUGGAAACGGUAGCUAAUACCGCAUACCAUCGGAUGUGCCCAGAUGGGAUUAGCGAGUAGGUGGGGUAACGGCUCACCUAGGCGACGAUCCCUAGCUGGUCUGAGAUGAUGACCAGCCACACUGGAACUGAGACACGGUCCAGACUCCUACGGGAGUCAGCAGUGGGGAAUAUUGCACAAUGGGCGCAAGCCUGAUGCAGCCAUGCCGCGUGUAUGAAGAAGGCCUUCGGGUUGUAAAAUACGUUCAGCGGGGAGGCGUUACCCGCAGAAUAAGCACCGGCUAACUCCGUGCCAGCAGCCGCGGUAAUUC